ensembl:snRNA U6 U6 spliceosomal RNA
GUGCUUGCUUCGGUAGCACAUAUACUAAAAUUGGAACUUAUCAUGGCCCCUGCACAAGGAUGACACUCAAGUUCGCGAAAUGUUCCAUAUUUUU